GAGUUUGAUCGUGGCUCAGGAUGAACGCUGGCGGCGUGCCUAAUACAUGCAAGUCGAGCGAACGGACGAGAAGCUUGCUUCUCUGAUGUUAGCGGCGGACGGGUGAGUAACACGUGGAUAACCUACCUAUAAGACUGGGAUAACUUCGGGAAACCGGAGCUAAUACCGGAUAAUAUUUUGAACCGCAUGGUUCAAAAGUGAAAGACGGUCUUGCUGUCACUUAUAGAUGGAUCCGCGCUGCAUUAGCUAGUUGGUAAGGUAACGGCUUACCAAGGCAACGAUGCAUAGCCGACCUGAGAGGGUGAUCGGCCACACUGGAACUGAGACACGGUCCAGACUCCUACGGGAGGCAGCAGUAGGGAAUCUUCCGCAAUGGGCGAAAAGCCUGACGGAGCAACGCCGCGUGAGUGAUGAAGGUCUUCGGAUCGUAAAACUCUGUUAUUAGGGAAGAACAUAUGUGUAAGUAACUGUGCACACCUUGACGGUACCUAAUCAGAAAGCCACGGCUAACUACGUG
rnacentral:rRNA from 1 species